GGAUAACUACUGGAAACGGUGGCUAAUACCGCAUAACGUCGCAAGACCAAAGAGGGGGACCUUCGGGCCUCUUGCCAUCAGAUGUGCCCAGAUGGGAUUAGCUUGUUGGUGAGGUAACGGCUCACCAAGGCGACGAUCCCUAGCUGGUCUGAGAGGAUGACCAGCCACACUGGAACUGAGACACGGUCCAGACUCCUACGGGAGGCAGCAGUGGGGAAUAUUGCACAAUGGGCGCAAGCCUGAUGCAGCCAUGCCGCGUGUAUGAAGAAGGCCUUCGGGUUGUAAAGUACUUUCAGCGGGGAGGAAGGUGUUGCGGUUAAUAACCGCAGCAAUUGACGUUACCCGCAGAAGAAGCACCGGCUAACUCCGUGCCAGCAGCCGCGGUAAUACGGAGGGUGCAAGCGUUAAUCGGAAUUACUGGGCGUAAAGCGCACGCAGGCGGUCUGUCAAGUCGGAUGUGAAAUCCCCGGGCUCAACCUGGGAACUGCAUUCGAAACUGGCAGGCUUGAGUCUUGUAGAGGGGGGUAGAAUUCCAGGUGUAGCGGUGAAAUGCGUAGAGAUCUGGAGGAAUACCGGUGGCGAAGGCGGCCCCCUGGACAAAGACUGACGCUCAGGUGCGAAAGCGUGGGGAGCAAACAGGAUUAGAUACCCUGGUAGUCCACGCCGUAAACGAUGUCUACUUGGAGGUUGUGCCCUUGAGGCGUGGCUUCCGGAGCUAACGCGUUAAGUAGACCGCCUGGGGAGUACGGCCGCAAGGUUAAAACUCAAAUGAAUUGACGGGGGCCCGCACAAGCGGUGGAGCAUGUGGUUUAAUUCGAUGCAACGCGAAGAACCUUACCUGGUCUUGACAUCCACAGAACUUUCCAGAGAUGGAUUGGUGCCUUCGGGAAC
rnacentral:rRNA from 1 species